rnacentral:rRNA from 2 species
UAAGCCUGUGAAGGUGUGUCGUGAGGCAUGCUGGAGGUAUCAGAAGUGCGAAUGCUGACAUAAGUAACGAUAAAGCGGGUGAAAAGCCCGCUCGCCGGAAGACCAAGGGUUCCUGUCCAACGUUAAUCGGGGCAGGGUGAGUCGACCCCUAAGGCGAGGCCGAAAGGCGUAGUCGAUGGGAAACGGGUUAAUAUUCCCGUACUUGGUGUUACUGCGAAGGGGGGACGGAGAAGGCUAUGUUGGCCGGGCGACGGUUGUCCCGGUUUAAGCGUGUAGGUGUGUGUUCCAGGUAAAUCCGGUUCACUUUAACACUGAGGCGUGACGACGAGGCACUACGGUGCUGAAGCAACAAAUGCCCUGCUUCCAGGAAAAGCCUCUAAGCAUCAGGUAACAUCAAAUCGUACCCCAAACCGACACAGGUGGUCAGGUAGAGAAUACCAAGGCGCUUGAGAGAACUCGGGUGAAGGAACUAGGCAAAAUGGUGCCGUAACUUCGGGAGAAGGCACGCUGACACGUAGGUGAAGUGAUUUACUCAUGGAGCUGAAGUCAGUCGAAGAUACCAGCUGGCUGCAACUGUUUAUUAAAAACACAGCACUGUGCAAACACGAAAGUGGACGUAUACGGUGUGACGCCUGCCCGGUGCCGGAAGGUUAAUUGAUGGGGUCAGCGCAAGCGAAGCUCCUGAUCGAAGCCCCGGUAAACGGCGGCCGUAACUAUAACGGUCCUAAGGUAGCGAAAUUCCUUGUCGGGUAAGUUCCGACCUGCACGAAUGGCGUAAUGAUGGCCAGGCUGUCUCCACCCGAGACUCAGUGAAAUUGAACUCGCUGUGAAGAUGCAGUGUACCCGCGGCAAGACGGAAAGACCCCGUGAACCUUUACUAUAGCUUGACACUGAACAUUGAGCCUUGAUGUGUAGGAUAGGUGGGAGGCUUUGAAGUGUGGACGCCAGUCUGCAUGGAGCCGACCUUGAAAUACCACCCUUUAAUGUUUGAUGUUCUAACGUGGACCCGUAAUCCGGGUUGCGGACAGUGUCUGGUGGGUAGUUUGACUGGGGCGGUCUCCUCCUAAAGAGUAACGGAGGAGCACGAAGGUUGGCUAAUCCUGGUCGGACAUCAGGAGGUUAGUGCAAUGGCAUAAGCCAGCUUGACUGCGAGCGUGACGGCGCGAGCAGGUGCGAAAGCAGGUCAUAGUGAUCCGGUGGUUCUGAAUGGAAGGGCCAUCGCUCAACGGAUAAAAGGUACUCCGGGGAUAACAGGCUGAUACCGCCCAAGAGUUCAUAUCGACGGCGGUGUUUGGCACCUCGAUGUCGGCUCAUCACAUCCUGGGGCUGAAGUAGGUCCCAAGGGUAUGGCUGUUCGCCAUUUAAAGUGGUACGCGAGCUGGGUUUAGAACGUCGUGAGACAGUUCGGUCCCUAUCUGCCGUGGGCGCUGGAGAACUGAGGGGGGCUGCUCCUAGUACGAGAGGACCGGAGUGGACGCAUCACUGGUGUUCGGGUUGUCAUGCCAAUGGCACUGCCCGGUAGCUAAAUGCGGAAGAGAUAAGUGCUGAAAGCAUCUAAGCACGAAACUUGCCCCGAGAUGAGUUCUCCCUGAGACUUAGAGUCUCCUGAAGGAACGUUGAAGACGACGACGUUGAUAGGCCGGGUGUGUAAGCGCAGCGAUGCGUUGAGCUAACCGGUACUAAUGAACCGUGAGGCUUAACCUUACA